GGGCACUUAGCUCAGCGGGAGAGCAUCACCUUGACAUGGUGGGGGUCGCAGGUUCAAUCCCUGCAGUGCCCACCA
rnacentral:tRNA from 2 species